rnacentral:rRNA from 1 species
AUACCGGCGGCCCGAGUGGUGGCCGCUAUUAUUGGGCCUAAAGCGUCCGUAGCCGGGCCUGUAAGUCCCUGGCGAAAUCCCACGGCUCAACCGUGGGGCUUGCUGGGGAUACUGCAGGCCUUGGGACCGGGAGAGGCCGGGGGUACCCCUGGGGUAGGGGUGAAAUCCUAUAAUCCCAGGGGGACCGCCAGUGGCGAAGGCGCCCGGCUGGAACGGGUCCGACGGUGAGGAACGAAGGCCAGGGGAGCGAACCGGAUUAGAAACCCUAGUAGUCC